UACGUAGGGGGCUAGCGUUGUCCGGAAUCAUUGGGCGUAAAGCGCGUGUAGGCGGCCCGGUAAGUCCGCUGUGAAAGUCGGGGGCUCAACCCUCGAAUGCCGGUGGAUACUGUCGGGCUAGAGUGCGGAAGAGGCGAGUGGAAUUCCUGGUGUAGCGGUGAAAGUGCGCAGAUAUCAGGAGGAACACCAAUUGCGAAGGCAGCUCGCUGGGACGUUACUGACGCUGAGACGCGAAAGCGUGGGGAGCAAACAGG
rnacentral:rRNA from 1 species